rnacentral:rRNA from 1 species
GGGUGACAGGUGGUGCAUGGUUGUCGUCAGCUCGUGUCGUGAGAUGUUGGGUUGAGUCCCGCAACGAGCGCAACCCUCGCCUCUAGUUGCCAGCAUUCGGUUGGGCACUCUAGAGGGACUGCCGGCGACAAGUCGGAGGAAGGUGGGGAUGACGUCAAAUCAUCAUGCCCCUUAUGACCUGGGCUACACACGUGCUACAAUGGGCGGUACAAAGGGCUGCGAACCCGCGAGGGGGAGCGAAUCCCAAAAAGCCGCUCUCAGUUCGGAUUGCAGGCUGCAACUCGCCUGCAUGAAGCCGGAAUCGCUAGUAAUCGCGGAUCAGCAUGCCGCGGUGAAUACGUUCCCGGGCCUU